GGAUUCAUGUAUGGUGAAAUAGGCAACUCCAUCGUCUUAUAUAAUGGCAUUUUCAGCAGACGUAUAUAAUGGCAUUUUCAGCUUUCGCGAGAAUUAUAAUGGCACUGAUAUAGUUUCACGAAUAGUUAUGGUGUGCAGCGUGCUUCAAAAACAACAAAACUAUAAUGGCGUGUACUAACCCAUAUUUCAGCUAUACUAUAGUUUACUAGGCGCCAACAGUAUGCACUCGAUGUUGGAAGCGCAUGCAGUGGUUCAAAAACGAGCAUGCUAAUGUGGGUCUCAAGUUACUAAUUGUUGAUUUGAGGCAUGAAUAGUGUGUUAGAUGCUUGCCUCACUAUCUUUAAUGGAGUCAUGUACUUGUAGCCCAUAUUUAUCUAUUAUGUCGAUUAUUUUGCUGUAGAUGAAAACCUGUUCAAGAGUCCAUCUCAGAUGGUUGUAAUUAAAAGCAAUCCAAAAAAGUAGGUCGUAAUUAGACAUUGUCCUUGAACAUUGCAAAUAGCUAAGGUUAAAAAAUCCACAUUUCAUAUCUAUACUACUCUAUUAAGAUAGUAGCGUCAGCGUCCACACCCGUCCACACCCUGGUUGCCCCCGCCUGACCCCGCACCCUCCCACGCGCGCGCAUGAAAGCAGCUCGCUAGCCCCCGUCGUGCCCCUCCCCCACGACCGAGGCACCGUCCCCCGCCGCCCCCGCCCCGGAUCUCGCCCCCGCCGCGGAUCCCGCGCUGGCUCUAUGCGGGAGUGCUGCCGAGCUCUGUGCAGGAGUGCUGCGGCGCCUUCCUCCGGCUGUACGCCACCGAAGCGCCCACCGCCGCAGCCCACACGCCUCCUGGGCGUGCGCGCGCACAUAGACAGGCAGACAGCUAGCGGUUUCAGUUUCAGCAGAAGAUCAUCGUCUUCAAGAACGGAAACGGAACACUAAGCAGCAGUGGUGGAUCCGCAACAAAGGCUGAGACUGACUCACCGAUGGCUGCGAGCUCGUGGUCCUUCACCCAGGACUGCACCGACGAGCUUAUCCGCUCCACCGUUGACUCCAUCGACUCGGACGGAGGAUCUCGGUUCCCUCCCUGCCUGUCUCUGAUGCGGGGGGAUCUGGGAUGCGACUCCUGCUUUUGUUGGACGAUUGAAGUUCUUGGAAGGGGCGGGGAAGGGUGGGAUUGGAUUGGAUUGAAUUGAACUGAUGAGUCUGAGUGCAAGGCCCUGUCUCGACUAACUUAUAGCUGAACGGGCGAGUGGAACCAGUGGCUGCCCUGCCCACUGGAAGCCUGGGAACGGGGAGGGAGGGGAACCAAAUGGGAGGCCCCCGCCUUCUGUUUCUGUCUGUUUUGUCUUCGUUCCUGGUGGCUCGGCUUCUGGUUUUCCAGGCCGCUUGUGGCUUCAGGCAGGGCAGGCUGCUCUGCCAGUUUCAGCUCAACGGAUAUUUCGUCUUCAUUAUUAAAAGAAA
rnacentral:lncRNA from 1 species